AUUCAGUUGACGAGUUCCAAAUAGAACAAAAUGCGCGUCAAACUGGAU
rnacentral:hammerhead_ribozyme from 1 species